ensembl:lncRNA
GUUUUUUUGUUUUGUUUUGUUUUUUUUUUUUAAGUUGGCUGUAGUGUUAGUGAAACAGUUUUCUGAUUUUCAGUAAUAAAAACUAGUUUUGUUGUAUUAGAACUGUUAGGGAAAAAGAAUGGAAUCUGUUGGCAUUGAUUGUUUUUCUCUGCAAGCAUUUCAGAUUACGUGGAUGAUUUAUUUGUCACUUUGCAAGGGAAAUAAAAAGUAUUUUGCUGCUUAGAUACCUUCAUAAUCCUUAGGCAGAAUAUGUGCCAGCUCUCCCAUUAGCAAAGUGGGGAAAUCAAGCUUUAAGGGUUAAGCAAGCUGCUACCUCCCGAGAUUAUUUCAGUCAAAGCCAUGUGUGGCACAUCUGACAGGAACCCAGAUGGAGCUAAUUUGAGUAGAUAUGGGAAAAGUGCUGUGACAAACCAUCAUCUCCAAGUUACACCAAACUGAGAGGGCGGGUCAGACCGGAGGGGUUUGGCAGUGAUGCCUCGCCAGCCACGCAGGUUCUGCUCAGCUCAGCAGGGACACGGCUGUGCCCAAACCCUUUGGCCACUGCACUUAGAGCUGGCCAGUGGGCUCUUUGUCACCUAAACCACGGGGAUUGUGGGGCUGGUGGCUGUCCUGACCCUCCUGCUGUGUGACCCACCCGCGGUGGGGCAGCAAUGCCCUGCAGGGCACCCGGGAAGUGCCACAGCCCAGCCAGGGAGGGCAUGGGUGUGUCCUGGCUUGUAAAAUCAGCAUGUAUUCUAUUGCCAUCUGUUGGAGGUUGGGCAGUUUUCUUAUCUCUCCCAAGAACAAUGUCUCCCUCCGGGGAGAUCUCUUCUGUUAAUGGGCCAUUAAUGACUCACUGCAUGACUGGUAAAGUUCCAUCAUCCCACUGUGAGAUGCUCCAACCAGAGGGAGGAGCCAAGCAUCCCUACCUGCAUAAAAUCAGCAUUUUUGGGACAGCAGGGCAGCCCUUUGCUGGAUUCCCAGAGGAGCAGCUUCUUCUCUCCUGGAUCCCCAGAGGAAGACCAGGCCCACCUACUCCAUCACCAGACCUUCAGAGAAAACUCCACCCUUCUAGAGAUCACCACUUCAGCAGCAUUUCAUCUGCCACUCCAGGAGGAGCAGCCACCAUUUAACUGCACUAUUACCAACACCCUGACUCCUCAGGGUGCCAGGUUUCUGACUCUAUCACUAGUUUUGUUUGUACUAGUUACAUUUUUAUUAUUUCUUAUUUAGUUGGUUUUUCUCCCAGUAAAGAACUGUUAUUCCCAUUCCCAUAUCUUUGCCUGAGGGCCUUUUUUAAAAUUGUGGUAAUUGGAGGGAGGGGGUUUACCUUUUCCAUUUCACAGGAGGCUUUUGCCUUCCUUCACAGACUCCUGUCUUUGCAAACCAAGACAGGGUGCCAGGCUGGGCAGAGACCCUGAGCAGUGGUAGAAUUAAACUGGGAGAGCAGGGUUUCAUCCAUCCUAAGAAUCAGGAUGUCUUCAUCACUGCAGACAGGGCUGUUCCCUAGAUCCACAAAAGAGAAGUUAAGGAAUGGAAAUAACUUGUGUGCAAGCAAAAGCUCUUUAGAGGUAGGACAUAAAAUAAUAAAUGUGUGAAUUGAUAAUAAGAGAUAGGUAAAAAGGUCUCAGAGGAUGACAGAAUGUCUUCUGCAGGUACUGAAGUGUGUUGGAUAUAAUGAGGGCCCUCUGCUAUUUGCACAUUUUGUAAAAAUGCCCUGUAUAUUUAGCAUUUUGUGGAAUGAAAACUUUAUGUGCUAUUGAAUGUUGCUGGCAAAUGGCUGUGAGACCAGCAAACUCAAACACACCUCAACUUUCCCUACUUUGGUUCUCUUUGCUGUUACUUAGUAACAUCAGAGAGAUUUUUUACUACAAACUUCUCUUUUGCCUAUGGAAGAACACUGACUGCCACUUCUUCAGUCUGUAUUUAUGCCAAACAGCCCAUUUGGUAAAGGAAGGGAAAGCGGUCCAGAUCUCUGCUUGACAGGCCAAAGAGAAAUGCUUUUAACAGCUAUAAAAAAAUUGUAAAACACAGAAUUUCUAAAUCAAAGCUCCAGAGGAAGAUCUUAAUCAAAGCCCUCUAUUGACGCAGCUUGAGCAUGGCCAGAAUACUGAAAUAGCUUUUAUUAAUUAACAUUUCCAGUGUGUGGCACACACUGCUCCACCCAGGGCCAAAAGAAACGAUGCCAUGCAGUGGUGAAGCUCUUCCAUGGACAGUCCAGCUGCAUCUUUGGACACAGAGCUGCUGAGAUGCUUCCCUGCCACUGCUGAGCCUGGGGAUGCAGGGGCUGCAGCAGGUUCAGACACUGGCACAGCAGAGGGGCUGCCUGUCUGUGGGUCAAACACUCCCCAGGGCAGGGACAGCACAGACAGCUGCCCUGGGAGCACUGGGAGUGGGGAAUGCCAUCCAGCUGCCCUGGGAGCACACUGGGAAUGGGCAAUGCCAUCCAGCUGCCCUGGGAGCACACUGGCAAUGGGGAAUGCCAUCAGCCACCCCUGGAAGACUCUGCCCUGAACUCAGGAAUGCAAAGCAGAUGUCUGCUCCUGGCAUUUUUCCUGGACUUGAAUGAGGCUGUUUGGAUUCAACACAGCUGCUCCAAAGGGUCAUAGUUUCUCAUGGAAUGUGUCCUAUUACAAAGCAUUCCAGAGGCUAAAUUUAGGGGUGCCAUUUUGGCCUAAUAAACAUUUGAAAGGAAAUAUUUCUAACAAAUUAGUGUUUUCUUCUCCCACUUUGUCUCCAUGCAAUAGGAACCAGCUAAUGAUCUUCAAAAGCAGGAUGGAAGGUUUCCACCAGAACUGGUGAUACAUUAUCAGCAAGUACAGAGCUGAAGGAGCCUGGACAGGAGGGCCUGGGCCUUCAGAAAAGCCACUGUGGUUGGUUCUAUGAUAAAUACAACAUCCACAUCACUUAAACAAACACACCAAAGUAAUCAGAUUCUCCAUCCCUAAAUAGCAGAAGUCAGCCCUCAGCUUUGAAAAUCCACAGCAGAUUCCCCUUACUGGGAAGUCAUCCCUCAGCUAUUAACUAUAAAUGCAAACCAUCAAACACAUUCUAUUGCUUCUCUGAGAAG